rnacentral:misc_RNA from 1 species
GAUGAAGAACGUAGCGAAAUGCGAUAAGUAAUGUGAAUUGCAGAAUUCAGUGAAUCAUCGAAUCUUUGAACGCACCUUGCGCCCUUUGGCUAUUCCGAAGGGCAUGCCUGUUUGAGUAUCGUGAACACCUCAACUCUCAUGGUCUGCCAUGAUGAGCUUGGACUUUGGGGGUCUUGCCGGCCUAGCGUCGGCUCCUCUCAAAUGGAUCAGCUUGCCAGUGUUUGGUGGCAUCACAGGUGUGAUAACUAUCUACGCUUGUGGUUUUCUACCAUGUAACCUUCAGCGAUGGAGGUUCGCUGGGGCUCACAGACGUCUCUCCUUGGAGGACAGCUUUUUGAACGUUUGAUCUCAAAUCAGGUAGGACUACCCGCUGAGCUUAAGCAUAUCAAUAAGCGGAGGA